GACGAACGCUGGCGGCGUGCUUAACACAUGCAAGUCGAACGGAAAGGCCCUGCUUUUGUGGGGUGCUCGAGUGGCGAACGGGUGAGUAACACGUGAGUAACCUGCCCUUGACUUUGGGAUAACUUCAGGAAACUGGGGCUAAUACCGGAUAGGAGCUCCUGCUGCAUGGUGGGGGUUGGAAAGUUUCGGCGGUUGUGGAUGGACUCGCGGCUUAUCGGCUUGUUGGUGGGGUAGUGGCUUACCAAGGCUUUGACGGGUAGCCGGCCCGUGAGGGUGGCCGGCCACAUUGGGACUGAGGGAGGGCCCAGACUGGUACGGGAGACAGCGGGGGGAAAUAUGGCACAGUGGGCGGGAGCCUGUUGCAGCGGCGCCGCGUGCGGGAUGACGGCUUUCGGGUUGUAAACCGCUUUCGCCUAUGACGAAGCGUGAGUGACGGUAAUGGGUAAAGAAGCACCGGCUAACUACGUG
rnacentral:rRNA from 1 species